ACAGCUCCACAGCGCUGCGGGGAACCCGUGCCCCGGUCAAGAACCUUCCAGAAUUGUGCCACAAUCGUCAAAGGGCAACUUCGUCGUGGUCCCUGGAAAGACAGACUACCCAUCGAAGGAAUGUGCGUCCGCAACCCUGUGUGGGUCGAUCAAGAAGCACCUACUAGACCAUUUCCACAAGAAACCUGUGCCACCAAAGCCAAAGCCAGAACCUAAGCCAGAGCUGGAGCCGAAGCCAGAACCUAAGCCAGAGCCAGAGAACCACCCACCUACACCAACAUACGGAUCCUCAACUCCGAUCUACCAUCCUCCAUCCAGGCAGUUGUUUGACAAGAAACACAUGUUUGAUAACUUCCACAAGCACCACGACUACCAUCACUUCUUUGACCACUUCCACAAGAAACCAGUUCCACCAAAGCCAAAACCAGAACCUAAGCCAGAACCAAAACCCAAGCCCCAGCCAGAGUACCACUCUCCAACUCCAACAUAUGGGUCGCCCACACCGAUCUACCACCCUCCGGCUAGGCAUUUGUUUGAUAAGAAGCCCUUGCUAGAUCACUUCCAUAAGGACCAUGACUAUCACCACUUCUUAGACCACUUCCACAAGAAACCCGUGCCACAAAAGCCAAAGCUAGAACCCAAGCCACAGCCUAAGCCCGAGUACCACCCUCCGACACCCACAUAUGUUUCUCCAACUCCCAUCUAUCACCCGCCCGCUGAGACAGAAAUGAAGUAUGACAAGAAGCACUUUGAUCACUUUCACAAGGAUCAUGACUACCACCACUUCUUUGACCACUUCCACAAGAAGCCUGUGCCACCCAAGCCAAAACCGGAGCCAGAGCCAAAGCCAAAGCCACAACCUAAGCCAGAGUACAAGCCCCCCAUGCCCACAUACGGGUCUCCAACUCCUAUCUACCAUCCUCCAGCCAAGAAAGAAGUGGCAUUUGACAAGAAGCACUUCCUUGAUCACUUCCACAAAGACCAUGACUACCACCACUUCUUUGACCACUUCCACAAGAAGCCUGUGCCACCAAAGCCUAAGCCGGAGCCCAAGCCAGAGCCCAAACCACAACCUGAGCCUGAGUACCACCCACCUACACCGACCUAUGGAUCACCGACUCCCAUCUACCACCCUCCGGCCAAGCAUUGAUCGAUGGAGUUGAAUGGUGGUCAGUGAUCGACGUCGCUAGCUAAGAGUUGCAUGUGUGGUCUAGCUAGCGUGGUUUGCAGUCCUGCUUUUUUGUUUCUACAGAAUAAAUUAUAG
rnacentral:lncRNA from 1 species